AGAUAUGAUAGAAGAUGGUUCCCAUUGCCUCUCAGUUACUUACACUCGAGCUUCAACUCCACACGAACUCCCGAUCGAUGGACGAAAAUCUGAAAAUCCAACGCUUUGAAGUUCCUCCUUCGGCCUCAGACUUCGAGUUUCUCAUUGAAUCUCGCGACGUUCCCGCUGUUCUUGUAGGAUGCGUUAAGGACUGGAGAGCUGUAUCGGAGUGGAAUCCGUACAAUGGCGGCCUUGACAAUCUACAGGUUGUAUUUCAACGUUCCCGCUGUAAGCUAGCUCCUUGGUGUUUCGUUAAGCUGCUGAUUAUUUUUCCAAGCUAGCUUAGGAUUUCUAGCUUGUUUUGAUAUAUAUAUAUAUAUAUAUAUUUACAAUUUAAUCCUUGUAAUUAAAAAGACGUAAUCAAUAAGUACCUCGUCAAAGAUUCCUCUGUAGAUCAGCCAUAGGAAGAGGUAUAUUGUUGGCAUUUAUCAAUGCAUAGGUAACUCCAAAUAAGAUUUGUAAUGAAUUUUUUGAUGUAAAACAUUUUACCGUUACAUUUUUUAAGAAGUACGAGGAGAAAAUUGCUGUAAAGAAAAGUAGGAAGACUAGAACGUUAUAAAUGUCAUAAUAUUGGGACUCUCGUGGAGUAUUGUGCUUAAGCUUAAGUUAUUCUGGCCUAUGUUUUGAAAGCUUGUAAGCUAUGAUCACUAACUGUAUGAUGAAAAUUUAUAGAUUGAGUUUGAAUGCUCAGUAUCUCCAUGAACUUUUCAUUAUGCUUUUUUUUUUUCAUUAAGGCUAUUGUGCUAGAGUUGGGUUCGACAUCUUUAAAAUUCAGGUCAGAACGAAGUUUUGCAUGUGCGUUGUUCUCUUGCUGACAUGAAUGAAACAAAGAGCCAUGAGCAUGUCGUACCAAGUAUCAGAAGGAUGGAUCAAGGAGUUCAAUGUUUGAGUCAAUUACUUGAAGGUGGGGAUUUGAGGGAAAAAGAGCUAAGGGAAGAAACUUAUUCUCAUAGGCUCUGCAUGGGCUUAUUACUAUAGUUCAUGACAACAUAAGCGCUUCCGAUCAAAUUAAACACCUAGAAUCAAGUUCUACAAAAGGUUCUGCAGAUGAGGUGGAGAGGAUGGAGAUGACUAGUUUACAGAGCUUGGAGAACGAUCAAAUAGCUACCUUUAUUUGGAAUUUGGAACCAUGUAUUCUUCAAAAGUUCCUUCUCACCAUGGCGGUGAUUUCUUUUGACUUCCCCAUUACAUUUACAAGGUUGAAAUUGUUUUUCAUGGAAGGCCUUGAGGAAACUAGUUUAUUCCAAUUAUUCUGGUCUAAUUAAUAUACUAAGGUUUCUCAUUAUCGAAAUAGAUGCAUGAAUAUAUUCGAUGGAUGUCAAACUAUUUUUAGUUUUAGUCGAUAGAUGUGUGAAAUUGUUCCUCUUUUUCUUGCUUUCCCCUUCUUUGUUUCUUCCUUAGCUUGUCAUCUUAUCCUACUUUCUUUUCCAUCUAGAAUGACUUCCCAAGAACUCUAGAGGCUCUUAUACUGCACUUGCUUUCUCCAGUUGGAGCAGAAGUUCUUACUCGAAAAUUUGAUUAGAUGGAUCAAGGAAACACCGAUGAGGAUCAGUUUAUUAUAUUCUUACAAAAAAAGAUUCUUCCUAUUAUUAUGGAUUCUGUGGGAGAUGUUUUACUUUUGGCUGAUAUCUCUUCAUCCCUGGAAAAGACUCUACGGGGUUUUCUAUAGUUCAUUUGAUGAUCAAUUUGCUGCGAUGGAUGCAAUUCUAAACAGGAAAGAGUCUUUUGCUCGUCAGGUCAUUGUAACUCUAUUUAACAGUAACAUUUUUAUUAUUUGUUAUUUAUUUUACUUCAACCAUGAUAUCUCCCCUGUUUAUCGUAGUAAUAGCUCUGUGCAAUUUGUUUUUAAUCAUAGGUAGGAUUUGCCUUCUAUAUUUUUCUCUUUUCCCGGAACAAAAUACUGAGCACACAAGUAGAUGGUAAUAGUUAUUGGUCUCGAAGGCAAUCUUUGUAGGCUAACAACAAAAGCUCUUCUCACAUCUUUAUCUCAUCCUCCAUAAAUUUGGCUGGCCUCAAAUUGCAAACAGCAUUCUGCAUUUUUGUGCUCAGCUUUUGUUCUUGUGAAAUAUCUUAUUUGGCUUAUUAGUUAGACACUUCUAUGUAGCUUUCACGCAACCUUGAAAAAUGGGCAGCAUAUUUGCUCAACCAAAACCGCCAAACAGGUACUGUUACAUAAGUUGAUCUUGCAAAGAUCCUAAUGAAUUAUUGUGUUUGGCUUCAAGGAACUGCAAAUCUUUUUUUUUUUUCUUUUUGGUUGUUAACUUUUCUGUUUCAGGACUAGAAGCAAUUUAUUUAAUUUUUAAAACUAAAGUUUGAUUAAGUGCCUAAACUGAGUUCUUUCUUCUCACAGCCUUAAAUAUCUGUUCCCUUCCGUGAAUUUGGUAUCUAUUGAUACUUUUGAAUCUUAGCGAAUGCGCAUGCUCUCUGGCCGCAGUUUUCUACUUGUGUCUAUAUAUAUAUAUAUUUUUAAUUUAUUACGCCAAUUUCAGUUUCUGUGUUUUGAAGGGAAGCAUAUUUAUUUCCAUUCUGCAUUUAUUUAUUUUAAAAACAUCAUUAUUGUCGUCACCAAAGAAUAGACACAACUAGCCAACCUGCAUAUUCAUUAGGACUUCUUUUUAUUCCCUCCCUAAUAAAUAAGCAUGACCAGAGAAUAUUCUGCUGCAACGCUUUGAGACUUUACUUGUUGUGUUAUUGUAAUUUAACUUUAAUUUUUGCGUCAGGCGUUCAAGAGUGUGCUGGAUAAAUACUUGGGAGUAAACUUAAAUGGGCCAAAUCCGGGAUCUUGAAGGGGAAGUCCUUUAAAGAAAUUGGUCCUGCAGAUUCUGGAGCAUAUCGAUGCUAUCCAUUUUCUAAGCUUUUCCUCGAUUGGAAUCACAUAAAGGUAGAUGCACCACUUUGCAUUAUCACCAUGGCUUUUUACUCUCAUCAGCUUGGGAGAAUAUUAAAUAUAUACACAUACUAAGCUGAUUGAACCUCUGGUUAAGCUGGCUACUAAAGGUUGUGUUGUGGGGAAUAUGCACAGAAAUUGAUAAAGCCCCUCUUAGCAACAACAGUAACAAAAGAAAGACUCACCACAGAAUUGCAAUUCAAUCUUCCAGAGCUCUUUGUUGGUAUCAUUUUCAUCCCCGUUGACAUUUUUCUUCUUCUUUAUUUUCUUUAUUUUCCUUUUCUUCCUUUAGGUUUUAGUUUGCAGCAGCACCCAAAUCCCGGACCACCACCACAAACACUCGCUCACUGGGGCACAAAUCCACAUAACACCAUCAACUUAGGUUGCCUUUAUUUUUUAAGAGAGGAAAAAAAGAAAAAAACACUCGCACUUGCAACUAAAUUUUACUGCUCCUUCCAUCUGACUUCACAAAAGGCUUCUCUAUUCAAAUAGUUCCAGUAAUUUCUCAGUACCUCUAGAAAAGUUGUGAAGGGGAAAAAAAACAUCUUGGGAUUUGAUUUUUUCAACUCGAAUUUCACCCAUGAUGUGGAAAAAGAAUGUUUUGCCCAUUCUUGGCUAUGAUUGUAAUGGUAAUAAGGUUGAAUAUCUAACUUGUUAGGAAUCACAUAUCUCCACGCCACUUUAAGUAUAAAUUCUUAUGGUUUUACUUUUGGUUUCCCCGAAAGGCCUCAUAUCAAUGGAGAUGUAUUCCUUACUUAUAAAUCCAUGAUCAUUUUCUUAAUUACCCAAUGUAGAACUCCUUCCCAACAAUUCUCAACACGACUCAACAAUUUUCAACACGACUGAUAGAACA